AUACAGAGGGUGCAAGCGUUGUUCGGAAUCAUUGGGCGUAAAGCGCGCGUAGGCGGUUUUUCAAGUCGGAUGUGAAAGCCCGGGGCUCAACCCCGGAAGUGCAUCCGAAACUGAAUGACUUGAGUCCCGGAGAGGGUGGCGGAAUUCCUGGUGUAGAGGUGAAAUUCGUAGAUAUCAGGAGGAACACCCGUGGCGAAGGCGGCCACCUGGACGGUGACUGACGCUGAGGCGCGAAAGCGUGGGGAGCAAACAGGAUUAGAUACCCCAGUAGUCC
rnacentral:rRNA from 1 species